rnacentral:rRNA from 1 species
AUGUUUGACGGAGUUGAGCGGAUGCUUCGAGCAGGCAGGUAUAUGCCAGGGCUAAGGAGGAAUCUAAUUUCGCUUGGUGUUCUUCAUGAUGGUGGUAUGGAAUUCCGUUGUGAUCGGGAUAAGAAGACCAUGAAAAUCAUGGAAGAUGGAAUGACUGUGAUGAUAGGAGAGAGGACGGCUUCGCAUCUUUACAAGUUGCAAGGGAGCACUAUUGCAGGAGUAGCAGUGGAGUCCCACGAUGGCGGCGGGUCUGGCCUGUUGGGUAGCUCUCAGUAA